rnacentral:rRNA from 1 species
UACGAAGGGGGCUAGCGUUGCUCGGAAUCACUGGGCGUAAAGCGCACGCAGGCGGCUUUUUAAGUCAGAGGUGAAAUCCUGGAGCUCAACUCCAGAACUGCCUUUGAUACUGGAGAGCUUGAGUCCGGGAGAGGUGAGUGGAACUGCGAGUGUAGAGGUGAAAUUCGUAGAUAUUCGCAAGAACACCAGUGGCGAAGGCGGCUCACUGGCCCGGUACUGACGCUGAGGUGCGAAAGCGUGGGGAGCAAACAGGG